rnacentral:lncRNA from 1 species
UGUCACCCGUGUCACCCCUCACCCGUGUGUCACCUGUCACCUGUGUGUCACCUGUGUGUCACCUGUGACCUGUGUGUCACCUGUCACCCGUGUCACCUUUCAUCUGUGUCACCCGUGUCACCCCUCACCCAUGUGUCACCUGUGUCACCCGUGUGUCACCCCUGUGUCACCUAUGUCACCUGUCACCCGUGUGUCACCUGUGUCACCCCUGUGUGUCACCCCUGUGUGUCACCCUCCCGUCCCCUGCGUGUCCUCGGUGUCACCCGGCGGUUCCUGAUGUCACCUUUGUGUCCCCUCAGGUGGGAAGUGCAAGUGCCGGAGCAAGGCCAGCCGCCGCCACCCCCCAGCGGAGCUGUCACCCCUGGCAGGGACAGGAGCCACCGGCUCGCGCUGAGCUGUCCCCAAGUGUCCCCAAACGUCCCCGAGAGGUGACAGGGGGGAGGGCACGGGGACCUCGGGGAUGUCCCCAAAUGUCCCCAAGGAGGAGCAGGAAUAAAAAUGGGGCAAAAAAAGGAGAUUUUGGUCAUUGGGGGAGGGGCGGCAGCAGCGGGGGACAGCGGAGGUGACACAGGGACAUCGGGUGAGGGUGGCACCAGGAGGUGACACGGGGACAUCGGGUGAGGGUGGCACCAGGAGGUGACACGGGGACAUCGGGUGAGGGUGGUGGCACCAGGAGGUGACACAGGGACAUCGGGUGAGGGUGGCACCAGGAGGUGACACGGGGACAGGGCUGGGGACAUCGGGGUGAGGGUCACAACAGGAGAUGACACCAGGGCAGAGGUGACAUCAGUGGUGGCCUUGGGGACAUUGGGUGAUGGUGGCACCAGCAGGUGACAUGGGGACAUGGGAGGGGACAUUGGGGUGAUGGUGGCCUUGGGGACAUUGGGGUGAGGGUGGCACCAGGAGGCGACACGGGGACAGGGGUGGCCUUGGGGACAUUGGGUGAUGGUGGCACCAGGAGGUGACACCAAGACAGAGGUGACAGUGGCGUUGGGGACAUCAGGUGAUGGUGGUGGCACCAGGAGGUGACACGGGGACAGGGGUGGGGACAUCAGGGCGAGGGUGGUGGCAGGAGGUGACAUGGGGUCAAUGGUGGC